AACGAACGCUGGCGGCGUGUUUAAGACAUGCAAGUCGCACGGGAUAAGACAUGUAGUAAUACUUGUUUUAUUUAGUGGCGCACGGGUGAGUAACACGUGAAUUACAUGCCCUAUAGUGGGGAAUAGCCCAGGGAAACUUGGAUUAAUACCCCAUGGUAUCGAAAGAUUAAAGGUGGCCGCAAGGCUGUCGCUAUAGGAUUGGUUCGCGCCCUAUCAGCUUGUUGGUGAGGUAACGGCUCACCAAGGCAAUGACGGGUACCUGGUCUGAGAGGAGGGUCAGGCACACUGGAACUGAGACACGGUCCAGACACCUACGGGUGGCAGCAGUCGAGAAUAAUUCACAAUGGGGGCAACCCUGAUGGUGCAACGCCGCGUGGAGGAUGACGGUCUUCGGAUUGUAAACUCCUGUCAUCUGGGAGAAAGACCUGACGGUAAAUAGCCGGCAGGGUUGAUAGUACCAGAAGAGGAAGGGACGGCUAACUUCGUGCCAGCAGCCGCGGUAA
rnacentral:rRNA from 1 species